rnacentral:rRNA from 2 species
CCCUAGUAACUGCGAGUGAAGAGGGAAAAGCUCAAAUUUAAAAUCUGGCAGUCUUUGAUUGUCCGAGUUGUAAUUUAGAGAAGUGUUACCCGUGUUGGGCCGUGUAUAAGUCUCCUGGAAUGGAGCGUCAUAGAGGGUGAGAAUCCCGUCUUUGACACGGACUUCCGAUACAUUGUGGUAUGCUCUCGAAGAGUCGAGUUGUUUGGGAAUGCAGCUCUAAAUGGGUGGUAAAUUCCAUCUAAAGCUAAAUAUUGGGGAGAGACCGAUAGCGAACAAGUACCGUGAGGGAAAGAUGAAAAGAACUUUGGAAAGAGAGUUAAACAGUACGUGAAAUUGCUGAAAGGGAAACGCUUGAAGUCAGUCGCGUCAGUUUGGGAUCAGCCUUCCUUUUGGUUGGUGUACUUCCUUACUGAUGGGUCAGCAUCAGUUUUGAUCAGUGGAUAAGAACUUGAGGAAUGUGGCAUCUUCGGGUGUGUUAUAGCCUCUUGUUGUAUACAUUGGUUGGGACUGAGGAACUCAGCACGCCGCAAGGCCGGG